rnacentral:rRNA from 1 species
UCGGGAAUUUUGCGCAAUGGGCGAAAGCCUGACGCAGCCAUGCCGCGUGAAUGAUGAAGGUCUUAGGAUUGUAAAGUUCUUUCGCUCGUGACGAUGAUGACGGUAACGAGAGAAGAAGCCCCGGCUAACUUCGUGCCAGCAGCCGCGGUAAUACGAAGGGGGCUAGCGUUGUUCGGAAUUACUGGGCGUAAAGCGCGCGUAGGCGGUUUUGCAAGCCAGAGGUGAAAUGCCUGAGCUCAACUUAGGAAUUGCCUUUGGGACUGCGAGGCUUUGAGGACGAGAGAGGUGAGUGGAAUUCCCAGUGUAGAGGUGAAAUUCGUAGAUAUUGGGAAGAACACCGGUGGCGAAGGCGGCUCACUGGCUCGUUUCUGACGCUGUAGCGCGAAAGCGUGGGGAUCAAACAGGAUUAGAUACCCCAGUAGUCCCUGAGCGGGCUGGCAAGGCGCAU